AACGAACGCUGGCGGCGCGCCUAAUACAUGCAAGUCGAGCGAGAAGACGUAGCAAUACGUUUGUAAAGCGGCGAACGGGUGAGGAAUACAUGGGUAACCUACCCUCGAGUGGGGAAUAACUAGCCGAAAGGUUAGCUAAUACCGCGUACGCUCCUUGGACUUCGGUUCAGGAGGAAAGCGAUACCGUGGGUAUCGCGCUCUUGGAUGGGCUCAUGUCCUAUCAGCUUGUUGGUGAGGAACGGCUCACCAAGGCUUCGACGGGUAGCUGGUCUGAGAGGGCGACCGGCCACACUGGGACUGAGACACGGCCCAGACUCCUACGGGAGGCAGCAGUGGGAAUCUUGCGCAAUGGGCGAAAGCCUGACGCAGCGACGCCGCGUGAGGGAUGACGGCCUCGG
rnacentral:rRNA from 1 species